rnacentral:rRNA from 1 species
AUUUAAAAAUUUAUUAAAAUUUUUUAUUAAUUUUAAUUUAAUUAAAAUAUUAUUUUUUUUAUUAUUUUUUUAGAAAAAAUUAUUUUUAUUAUAGUUUAUUAGUAUUGAAGGGGAAAAUAUCAAAAUUUUUAUAAGAAAAAUUAUUUUGUACCUUGUGCAUCAGGGUUUAUUAAAUAAUAAAUAAUUAUUUAUUUUUCUCGAAUUUAAAAGAGCUAAAUUUUUAUAUAUUUUAUUGUUUCAUAAAUAUUUAAAAUAAAAAUUUAGUAAUGAAAUGUUAUUCGUUUUUAAAUAUAUCUAGUUUUUUAAGAAAAAAAUUUAAUUUUAUUAAUAAAUUUGAAUUGCUUAAUUUUUAAAAUUUUCAAUUUAUUAUUAAAUAAUUUAAGGGAUAAGCUUUAAAUUAAAUUUUUAUAAUUUAUUAUUAAAUAAGAAUAAUUUAUAGGAUUAAAAAUUUCUAUUAAUAAAAAUUUAUUAAAAUUUAUUAUUCUAAUUUUAUUAUUUAUAUUAAAUUUUAGUUUUUUAUUAAAUUAAAAAAAUUAAUUUUUUAUUUUUUGUAAUAAUGAUAAAAUUAGUAUUAUGUAUAUAUAUAUAUAUAUAUAUAUAUAUAUAGGUUAAGUAAAGGAAUUCGGCAAAUAAAUUUUUCACCUGUUUAUUAAAAACAUCUCUUUUUGAAAAUAAUUUAAAGUAGGGCCUGCCCACUGAGUAAUUGAAGGGCCGCAGUAUUUUGACUGUGCAAAGGUAGCAUAAUCAUUAGUUUUUUAAUUGAAAGCUUGUAUGAAUGGUUUGAUGAGAAAAUAGCUUUCUAUAUUUAAAUUUUUAAGAAUUUUAUUUUUAAGUUAAAAAGCUUAAAUUUUUAUAAUAGACGAGAAGACCCUAUAGAGUUUAAUUUUUGUAUAAAUUUAAAUUUAUAGAAUUUUUUAAUUUUAAUUUAUAAAAAAAUUUGAUUGGGGUGAUUAAAAAAUUAAAUUAACUUUUUUUACAUUAUAACAUUAAUUUAUGAUUAUUUGAUCCAUUUUAUGAUUAAAAGAUUAAAUUACCUUAGGGAUAACAGCGUUAUUUUUUUUUAGAGUUCAAAUCGAAAAAAAAGAUUGCGACCUCGAUGUUGGAUUAAAGUUAAUCUUUGGUGCAGAAGCUUAAGAAUUUGGUCUGUUCGACCAUUAAAACUUUACAUGAUCUGAGUUUAAACCGGUGUGAGCCAGGUUGGUUUCUAUCUUUAUAUAGUUAAUAAAUUUUAGUACGAAAGGACCAUAUUUAAAAUUAAUAAUUUAAAAUUUGAAUAAAAUUA